rnacentral:rRNA from 1 species
GAUGAACGCUAGCUACAGGCUUAACACAUGCAAGUCGAGGGACCGGCGCACGGGUGAGUAACACGUAUCCAACCUGCCCUUUACUCGGGGAUAGCCUUUCGAAAGAAAGAUUAAUACCCGAUAUAAAGGAUGGGGAUGCGUUCCAUUAGGUUUUUGGUGCGUUAACGGCCCACCAAGCCGUCGCUGGAUAGGGGUGCUGAGAGGAAGGUCCCCGACAUGGGAACUGAGACACGGGCCAAACUCCUACGGGAGGCAGCAGUGAGGAAUAUUGGUCAAUGGGCGUUAGCCUGAACCAGCCAAGUAGCGUGAAGGAUGAAGGCUUAUGGGUCGUAAACUUCUUUUAUAUAAGAAUAUGUAUUAUAUGAAUAAGGAUCGGCUAACUCCGUGCCAGCAGCCGCGGUAAUUC